AUGCGAAGAAGUUACUCUUGGGGGCAAAGAGGACAAUCUGUCAGGACAAAACUGAGCUCUGAACCUUUCGUAAUUCAGGCCACCCGACAAGAACCAGCACGUUGCUGUCUGACAAUGACGUUAACUGCCUUUGGAGCAGCAGAAACAACCGCGCCAGCCAAGCAGCGCUGUCUGCCAGCCUCAGAGAUACACGUAUUGGAGUAUUCCUUCAGACACCUGCCAACCGUGAUCCAUCCCCUUCUGCCUCCCCUCCAGCACUUGUCACUGAGUCAAUGUGAUGUGAAACAGGAGGGAGAAGAGGACCAUAUUCUGCCUAACCUGUUUGGUGUAUCCAUUGCUGUCACCAUACAGGAUAACUACAGCCCAGUCUUCUUUUCCAUCCUGCUGCUGCUUCUCUGAUCUUUGCUGUACAUCGUAGUAUCUGCCGAGUUGGAAACAAUUAAAUAGUUGACAGUGGGUGGAGUCCUGUUCUUUUUCACAUUUCUAGCGGCUGCUGGAGUGCUUCUGGCCUCUGUGGUGGGCAGAUUUAUCCAUUGAGCUCCAAGGGAAAUCUCAGAACCUUCUGCAGUCCUCAAUGCAAAAUAUUCCUUGUGUGCAGUUGCUUAGGAUGAGUUAUAUGUGAACACACCUCAGUGUCUUUGGAUCCACCACUUUUUCAUAUAUUUCCUGUCAUCUCUCCUCCCUGCAUGUCUAGUUUUACAUUGUUUCUACAUGCUUAACUCAUGCUUUCUACAUGCCUAAGUCAUGCUUUUAAUAGUUGUCCAAUUCUUUGCCUCUUCUCAUACCCAGCUAAUUAUUUUCAAUUUAUUGAUUUUCCACUUGGAGAUUAAUGGGUUAUUUGGCUUCAAAGCUUGUAUUCACGCAGCUGUGAGCUAACCCAUAGGCAUGGGAAGGGGUAUACGUGUUUAUGUUGUUGAUCACCUUUCUAAUGAACUUCUGUAAGAAACUAAAGGGAUUUUUUUUUCCUCCUUACUUACUAUUAAGAAGCCAUCCAGCUUCAGAUUUUGCCAUUGAAUAACUGCAUUUCACAAAAAGUAAAAUAAACAAACCUCAGAAUCUUGCA
rnacentral:lncRNA from 1 species